GCGCUCAUAGCUCAAUGGAUAGAACGUCAGCCUGCGGAGCUGAAGAUCCAGGUUCGAUUCCUGGUGAGCGCACCA
rnacentral:tRNA from 1 species